rnacentral:rRNA from 1 species
UUAGCGGCGGACGGGUGAGUAACACGUGGGUAACCUGCCCAUAAGACUGGGAUAACUCCGGGAAACCGGGGCUAAUACCGGAUAACAUUUUGAACCGCAUGGUUCGAAAUUGAAAGGCGGCUUCGGCUGUCACUUAUGGAUGGACCCGCGUCGCAUAGCUAGUUGGUGAGGUAACGGCUCACCAAGGCAACGAUGCGUAGCCGACCUGAGAGGGUGAUCGGCCACACUGGGACUGAGACACGGCCCAGACUCCUACGGGAGGCAGCAGUAGGGAAUCUUCCGCAAUGGACGAAAGUCUGACGGAGCAACGCCGCGUGAGUGAUGAAGGCUUUCGGGUCGUAAAACUCUGUUGUUAGGGAAGAACAAGUGCUAGUUGAAUAAG